rnacentral:rRNA from 1 species
UACGGAGGGGGCUAGCGUUGUCCGAAGUUACUGGGCGUAAAGCGCGCGUAGGCGGGUUGGUAAGUCCGCUGUGAAAGCCCGGAGCUCAACUCCGGAGGGUCGGUGGAUACUGCCAGCCUUGAAGGUGCUAGGGGGAGAUGGAAUUACCGGUGUAGCGGUGAAAUGCGUAGAUAUCGGUAGGAACACCAGUGGCGAAGGCGGUCUCCUGGGGCAUUCUUGACGCUGAGGCGCGAAAGCUGGGGGAGCAAACGGG